rnacentral:rRNA from 1 species
AAGGGUGAGUAAGGCGACGGUAACCAACCCCAGGAUUGGGUAUAGCCGCGGGAAACCGCGGGUAAUCCCCAGCGACGCAACGACCCCGGCAUCGGGGUCUUGCCAAAGCUUCGGCGUCCUGGGACGGGCUGUCGUGGUAUUAGCUUGUUGGCGGGGUAACGGCCCACCAAGGCUCUGAUGCCUACCGGGCGUGCGAGCGUGGCCCGGCACACUGGGACUGAGACACUGCCCAGACUCCUACGGGAGGCUGCAGUCGAGAAUCUUCGGCAAUGGGCGCAAGCCUGACCGAGCGACGCCGCGUGGAGGAUGAAGGCCUUCGGGUUGUAAACUCCUGUCGAGGGGGAAAAAGGGUCGCAAGACCUUGAUUGAUCCCUGGAGGAAGCACGGGCUAAGUUCGUGCCAGCAGCCGCGGUAAGACGAACCGUGCGAACGUUAUUCGGAAUCAUUGGGCUUAAAGCGCGUGUAGGCGGAUUCGUGCGUCUGUCGCUGAAAUCCCCCGGCUCAACCGGGGAACGGGCGCGGAUACGUCGAGUCUGGAGGGGCAUAGGGGGACCUGGAACUUCCGGUGGAGCGGUGAAAUGCGUUGA